AAAGGUAUUAGCAAGCAUAAAAAUUGCAACCUGAAUAUGCAAAAAUAUCAAAGUAACAAGCAUGCCCCAUAAUGAUAAAAUUAUCUCAACCCUUAUGCUCAGGUACUAGGAUUCCAAGUGAGAAUAAACUUCUCCUUUAACUCAACUGGGUCUUCUUUGUAAUAAGAUACACUUUUGAACUUGAGAGGAAGUGAAAGAUAGGCUAAGAGUUCACCAUUAUUGCACCGGGCCCGUACCAUUUAAGUUAGUCUUUGUGCUUAAACCAAAUUUACAAUUAUAUAAAGACAAAUAGGCGCCUUCCUAUGUAAGUUAGUAACCACAUUUUGACUGUCUUUAUUUCCCUACAUUCUUCAAUAAAAAAAAGGCAAGCGGAUAAUUUUAAACUAGAAAGCAUGGCAUGGGUACGCACAGACAUGAGUCACAGUCAUGGGCAUAUAACAAAAUUUUAAGUAUCUCUGUUUCCUAUUCUGUUUUUUUUUUUUGGGAUAAAAUUAUCUGAUAUUCGUUACUAACAUGUUAGAUUGGACAAUUGCUAAACACAGGAGUACCUGUGCAAUUUAAAGUGUCACAAAGUGUGCUGUCAUGUUUUAUACAGUGUUAGACACAAACAUGGCUCCUUUACUGAAGUGUCCAUGUUUAAUCAGGUUUUACAGUUCUGCACCAUAUGAUUUGAUCUUUUGCGGAAAAUUCUUGAAAAGAUUAUGCUUUUCUAGGAAAACCUAAAAGCAAACACCUGAGAAGCAUUGCCUCAGUGUCCUAAAGCCAGCUUAAAAGGUCUGCAAAGAGUAUAGAUACCAAAACCAAAAGAUAAAUCACAGUAGCAGGGG